rnacentral:rRNA from 1 species
GUGGGGAAUCUUGCGCAAUGGGCGAAAGCCUGACGCAGCCAUGCCGCGUGAAUGAUGAAGGUCUUAGGAUUGUAAAAUUCUUUCACCGGGGACGAUAAUGACGGUACCCGGAGAAGAAGCCCCGGCUAACUUCGUGCCAGCAGCCGCGGUAAUACGAAGGGGGCUAGCGUUGCUCGGAAUUACUGGGCGUAAAGGGCGCGUAGGCGGACAGUUUAGUCAGAGGUGAAAGCCCAGGGCUCAACCUUGGAAUUGCCUUUGAUACUGACUGUCUUGAGUACGGGAGAGGUGAGUGGAACUCCGAGUGUAGAGGUGAAAUUCGUAGAUAUUCGGAAGAACACCAGUAGCGAAGGCGACUCACUGGCCCGUUACUGACGCUGAGGCGCGAAAGCGUGGGGAGCAAACAGGAUUAGAAACCCUUGUAGUCC